AGUGAACGCUGGCGGUAGGCCUAACACAUGCAAGUCGAACGGCAGCACAGUAAGAGCUUGCUCUUACGGGUGGCGAGUGGCGGACGGGUGAGGAAUACAUCGGACUCUACUUUUUCGUGGGGGUUAACGUAGGGAAACUUACGCUAAUACCGCAUACGCCCUACGGGUGAAAGCAGGGGAUCUUCGGACCUUGCGCGAUUGAAUGCGCCGAUGUCGAGUUAGCUAGUUGGCGGGGUAAAGGCCCACCAAGGCGACGAUCCGUAGCUGGUCUGAGUGGAGGGUCAGCCACACUGGAACUGAGACACGGUCCAGACUCCUACGGGAGGCAGCAGUGGGGAAUAGUGGACAAUGGGGGCGAGCCUGAUCCAGCCAUACCGAGUGGGUGAAGAAGGCCUUCGGGUUGUAAAGCCCUUUUGUUGGGAAAGAAAAGCAGCAGGUUAAUACCCCGCGGUACUGACGGUACCCAAAGAAUAAGCACCGGCUAACUUCGUG
rnacentral:rRNA from 1 species